rnacentral:rRNA from 1 species
GACGAACGCUGGCGGCGUGCUUAACACAUGCAAGUCGAACGGAAAGGCCCUGCUUUUGUGGGGUGCUCGAGUGGCGAACGGGUGAGUAACACGUGAGUAACCUGCCCUUGACUUUGGGAUAACUUCAGGAAACUGGGGCUAAUACCGGAUAGGAGCUCCUGCUGCAUGGUGGGGGUUGGAAAGUUUCGGCGGUUGGGGAUGGACUCGCGGCUUAUCAGCUUGUUGGUGGGGUAGUGGCUUACCAAGGCUUUGACGGGUAGCCGGCCUGAGAGGGUGACCGGCCACAUUGGGACUGAGAAACGGGCAAGACUCCUACGGGAGGCAGCAGUGGGGAAUAUUGCACAAUGGGCGGAAGCCUGAUGCAGCAUCGCCGCGUGCGGGAUGACGGUCUUCGGGUUGUAACCCGCUUUCGCCUGUGAAGAAGAGUGAGUGACGGUAAUGGGUCAAGAAGCACCGGCUAACUACGUG